AGUGAACGCUGGCGGUAGGCCUAACACAUGCAAGUCGAACGGCAGCACAGUAAGAGCUUGCUCUUACGGGUGGCGAGUGGCGGACGGGUGAGGAAUACAUCGGAAUCUACUUUUUCGUGGGGGAUAACGUAGGGAAACUUACGCUAAUACCGCAUACGACCUACGGGUGAAAGCAGGGGAUCUUCGGACCUUGCGCGAUUGAAUGAGCCGAUGUCGGAUUAGCUAGUUGGCGGGGUAAAGGCCCACCAAGGCGACGAUCCGUAGCUGGUCUGAGAGGAUGAUUCGCCACACGGGAACUGAGACACAGCCGAGACUCUGACGGGAGGCAGCAGUGGGGAAUAUUGGACGAUGGGGGCGUGCCGGAUCCAGCAAUACCGCGUGGGUGAAGAAGGACUUCGGGUUGUAAAGCCCUGUUGUUGUGAAAGAAGAGCAGCAGGUUAAUACCCCGUUGUUCUGACGGUACCCAAAGAAUAAGCUCCGGCUAACUUCGUG
rnacentral:rRNA from 1 species